rnacentral:lncRNA from 1 species
CCCAGAUUAGUGGCUCUCACACUCACCUUGGCUCUGGGCUCUAACUUAACUCUCCCCUUUCAUCCUUUGCCAGACUUGGAUCCAGAACAUUUGCAGUCCUGGCUUAGGCAGAGGAGCUUUUGGAGGCAACUGUCCCCCUCUCCUGCUCCCUGGAACCACAGGGAGGAACCACAGGGAGGGGUCCCUUAUCAGAAUCCAACCAGGGAGAAGGUGCUUGGCUGUGGUCUCAAGAGCAACUCUGGGUGGGCCGGGGAUUUAGCUCAGUGGUUCCGCUGCCUGCCUCGCAAGCACAAGGUCCCGAGUUUGAUCCCCGGUACCAAAACCUCCCCCAAAAAACUAAAGAGUAACUCUGGGCAAGUCGCUGGGGUCUUCCGGUGGAGAAUCUUGGCGCCCUAAGGAAAAGCUGCAUACUCAGUUUCCCCAAAUUCAGUUGGGGACCAAGAAGACUCUGGCCCUGGACAAUGACACACACCCCUUUCCUAUUUACUGUAUCUCCACAGAGGCAGCAGCAACUACCACUUGAACUAUGAGCUGCACGGAGGAGAUGCCCCCUGUAGGUGGGUGCACCUGCCCCGUGUCCCUGGGGCAGCCCGUGGGGCUGGUGGCCUGACUCCUCCUCUGUCCUGUCCCUGUAGGGGGUAUGGACACCAGAGGAUCUCCCCACUCAUCAACCAGGUGCCUGGCAAGCUCCAAAGGACUUUCAUGGGCCUGGGGGUCAGAAGGAGCUGCAGCCCCUACAAGGCCUCUAGGAGCAGAUACCUGCACCCCGAGCAGGCCAAGCGUGAGUUCGGCCACAGCUGCAGUGCUGGGGAGAGGCUGGGUGGCUCAAGCGCAGUGACAGCAGGCCUAGGAGCCCUGGGAGCCAUGCUCUUGGCCCUUGUGGCCUCUGCGGGCACCAACCCUGGCCCCUCCCCAGCUGUGAGGACCGAGGAGCUGCGCUCCAUCCGGGGGAAGCUGAGCGAGAUCAAAGCCCAGGUGGACAGGCUGUUGGAGAGUCUGGAGCACAUGGACCAGCGCAGAGCCCAGGCUGCAGGGACAAAGGACAGUGACAAGAACAGGGUCCCUGGUAGUGAGGGCUGCUCACGCCAAACUACUGAGGCCCAACAGGAGCCCAGGGGCCAGCGGGAAGGAUAGCCACAGAGCAGGCGGUGCAGAACCAAGCAUCUGACCAGGAGGGCGGCCAGUAGCAGGUGGGAACCCUUCUGGGCUCAUCAGCUCCGCGCCUCUUCCUGGUUGGCCCCUGCCUCCUGGUAGAACCCAUGCAACCUGAGUACCCACUCCAGCACCGGGGCAAUGGAAGCAGAGGCAUGGUUCAGCCGCACUAGCCGGAAAGCCUCCCCAUGGUGUUGGGUCUAGCUUUGUUGGCUGUUUCCAGAAUCCUAGGGCUGGCGGGAUGGGGGAGGCUCUGUAUGGCCCAGCAGCAGCUCCCCAUCCUCAUAAAGCCAAGGCAGCCUGAGCACAGGGAGCAUCACCGGCCCUUCCUGAAUGCAGACACUGCCUUAGCUGCUCCCCUCCACGCAUCUCCAGGCACACCAGCUGGCCCAGCUUUCUCUACCCGGUGUUGAAACCUUUGUGAUCCUCCAUUCUAACACUGAGCUGUUUAAGGUCCACAGUGCAUGCCCCCUGCAACUCACUUUGCUUCCAGACUCCAGCCUACACAGCCAUUCUUCAGAACAGCAGUACUAUUCUUUAUGUCCUGUUUUGACCUUGUUUUUCAUUAGUAUGAUACUAUGCAUUCCAGACCUGCUCUAGGAAAAUGUAUUGUGUCAGAAAGGAAAAAAAUACAAUGUGCACUUCUUCCUGGUCAAGAGUUCCUAUUUGUGGUCCCAGAACAUUCUGGCCCUUGGGCUGCCCUGAGCCGGCACUUCCUGUAGAAGCUAAGGUGAGCCCUUGAGACACUCAGAUUUUGAAGCUCAUACCAAACUGGGAUGCAGAAGCCCAGGCUGCUGUUUUUUCAAAAGCAGUUUACCGGCUCUCUCUAAUCCAGCCCUGAGGACUCACCAGCAGAACUCAGCCACCUAGGGAAGACUCCACCU